GAUCCUGGCUCAGAUUGAACGCUGGCGGCAGGCCUAACACAUGCAAGUCGAGCGGUAACAGAGAGUAGCUUGCUACUUUGCUGACGAGCGGCGGACGGGUGAGUAAUGCUUGGGAACAUGCCUUGAGGUGGGGGACAACAGUUGGAAACGACUGCUAAUACCGCAUAAUGUCUACGGUCCAAAGGGGGCUUCGGCUCUCGCCUUUAGAUUGGCCCAAGUGGGAUUAGCUAGUUGGUGAGGUAAUGGCUCACCAAGGCGACGAUCCCUAGCUGGUUUGAGAGGAUGAUCAGCCACACUGGGACUGAGAC
rnacentral:rRNA from 1 species